UGGGGCUGGAACCCAUGUACCAGCGGCUCCCGGUGCACUGUGCAUGUACCGCGCGCCCCUCCCCAGCCUCCGGGGCCCUAGGAGGUCUGGAUGGCGUCUCCCACCUUGUUUCCCCACUUCCCGCUCCCUGACUGUGUCCCAGUCCACUGGUUUCCUUUUUAUUCCUUCAGUACCUCAACUCCUUUCCCACCUCGGGGUGGGGGGGUAGGGGGGCGCCAGGCAUCCUCUUGCUUCUGCCCUGAAACUCCUUUCCCUCCACAUCCUUCCCUGGCUCCUCCAGCCGCAGGGAGAUCCCCUCUCCCGUGCCCAUGAACCUCCUCCAUCUCAGUCCCUUGACGUUGAUUUUUCCGGAUGGCUUCUCCUUUCACAAUUGCCGAUUUAUUCACCUGGCUGGUGCUGCCUCCCCACUCCCUUCCAGCCAGUGAAUGCUCUGACGGCUAGAAUUUGGGGUCCUUUUCAGUCACCCUCGUAGCCAGCACCUGCACCUACCACCUAGCAGGAGCUCAAACAGAGCGCUUAGUGAAUGAGUGAAUGGAUGCGGAAAUGAAUGAGGGACCUUCCUUGCUCCCUCUCAGGCACCUGUUCUGGGUUCCCCGAGGCCCAUCUCGGAGUCUCAGGUCGGUCAAAGGCAGCAAGCGAUGAAGUUAUAAACCAGGGCAGGCAAAUGGAGUGUGCAAAGUUUUUUGAGAGGAAACUCUAAGACGCGGUGCUAUUAAAAAUUGAUAUUUCAAUGAGAUAAUCCCUCUCAGGCUUUUAAUUGAUUGUCUAAAAAGCCUUCCUCUGUUGUUAUGCUUCUUUAUUUGCAGGGACCAUUAAUUUUUUUAUGAACAAUCAAACGCAGAUAGAGUGGAAAGCCUGCCGUGUGGCUGAUCCUAAAACGGUAACCAAGGCGCCAGAGGCAACAUCUGGGGGUCGACCAGGACAGACAGAGAUCACAAGCAGGCAGAGAGAGAGGAGAAAGCAGGCUCCCCGCAGAGCAGAGAGCCCGAUGUGGGGCUCGAUCCCAGGACGCUGGAUCAUGACCCGAGCCGAAGGUAGAGGCCCUAACCCACUG
rnacentral:lncRNA from 1 species